GACGAACGCUGGCGGCGUGCUUAACACAUGCAAGUCGAGCGGUAAGGCCCUUUCGGGGGUACACGAGCGGCGAACGGGUGAGUAACACGUGGGUGACCUGCCCUCAGCUCUGGGAUAAGCCUGGGAAACUGGGUCUAAUACUGGAUGUGACUCCACGGUGCAUGUCGUGGGGUGGAAAGCCUUGUGCGGCUGAGGAUGGGCCCGCGGCCUAUCAGCUUGUUGGUGGGGUGANGGCCUACCAAGGCGACGACGGGUAGCCGGCCUGAGAGGGCGACCGGCCACACUGGGACUGAGACACGGCCCAGACUCCUACGGGAGGCAGCAGUGGGGAAUCUUGCGCAAUGGGCGAAAGCCUGACGCAGCGACGCCGCGUGAGGGAUGACGGCCUCGG
rnacentral:rRNA from 1 species